rnacentral:rRNA from 1 species
UACGUAGGAUCCAAGCGUUAUCCGGAAUCACUGGGCGUAAAGCGUGCGUAGGCGGCGUGUUAAGUGAGAUGCGAAAUCUGGUGGCUCAACCAUCUAGACUGUAUUUCAUACUGGCAUGCUAGAGAGAGGCAGAGGUAAGUGGAAUUGAUAGUGUAGCAGUGAAAUGCGUAGAUAUUAUCAGGAACACCAAUGGCGAAGGCAGCUCGCUGGGACGUGACUGACGCUGAGACGCGAAAGCGUGGGGAGCAAACAGG